rnacentral:rRNA from 1 species
UGGGGAAUUUUGCACAAUGGGGGAAACCCUGAUGCAGCGACGCCGCGUGAUUUAGAAGGCCUUCGGGUUGUAAAAAUCUUUUCUAUGGGAAGAAAAUGACAGUACCAUAGGAAUAAGUACCGGCUAAUUACGUGCCAGCAGCCGCGGUAAUACGUAAGGUCCGAGCGUUGUCCGGAAUCAUUGGGCGUAAAGGGUACGUAGGCGGGUAAGCAAGUUGGAAGUGAAAUCCUAUAGCUCAACUAUAGUAAGCUUUUAAAACUGCUCAUCUUGAGGUAUGGAAGGGAAAGUGGAAUUCCUUGUGUAGCGGUGAAAUGCGCAGAUAUUAGGAGGAAGACCGGUGGCGAAGGCGACUUUCUGGCCAUAACCUGACGCUGAGGUACGAAAGCGUGGGUAGCAAACAGG